rnacentral:lncRNA from 1 species
UGUUCUCUGCAACAGAAUUUCAAAUGGGAGGAACAGAAUUAUGUUGUUCAAAAUGAAAUCAACAACUUGUCUUUCUUGGCCAAUAAUGACAAAACAUUCAAGCUUGACAAUGAGAAGAGGAAGAUGAGGAGGAAGAGGGGUUGUUAUUCCACCAACACCUCUCUCAUUGUAGCUUUAAUGAAGAGGCUGACCCCUGUGGGACUCAGGGUUUGUUUUCCGAGCGAUCACAGUCUCAUCAUCUUGGCUAAGAAUGCCUUCUCUCAGGUAAGUUGGAAAUGUGGACCAUACUAAAAUCCUCCACCUUUCACAUCCUUCACUACGUGCUUGUGCACAUUUGACACUACAGGACUGUUUAGUAUACUUAAUGUGGGCAAUUACAUGCUUUCCACAGAAGACCACUGAGAAUGAGAUCCGAGAUCAUAUUUUCAAUUGCGUUGUACAUCUUCAGAAUCAGGGAUCAGACAGUUUAAGACAGAAGAUUCUUACAGAGCUCCCAAACCAACCCGGGUACAUCAGUGAUGCAGAAAAGACUGUUGACAGGAUUAUGGAAAUAGCUCGAGUCCUUUAUUAUCUUGACCAGGUGAGCUUUUCCAUGCUAUAGAAAAAGUUGCUGAUUAAGACACUGAGUAAAGACUCCGUCCUUUGCUUUAAUUGGGAUACUGCCUUUUGGCACUGAGUGAAUCCUGGCUCUGCAGCCAUUGUAUUCUGCCUACUGCUUAAAAUUUGUUGAGUAAGGUGAAGAGUGUUUUGUUCUGACUUUUGUUAAUAUACCCUGCAAGCAUUAUUAAGACCUCAACAUCAUCUCACUGGUUAAAACUAGGGAUGGGUAUCGUUUAGGUUUUAUCCGAUACCAGUACCAAACCGGUACUUUUGAAACGGUGCCGGUGCUUAAACGGUGCUUGAACCGGUGCUUAAAGAAUGGAGAACACACAAUUGGUCCAAAAACCUCUCAUGUUCAGCUGUUUUCCACUUUUUCUUUGGUCAUUUUAGCCUUUUUGGCCAGGGUGAAGGGAGUAUCUGCCAUCAAACAAGAAGACAGCCGCAUGUAACUACGACGGUGUUUGCUAGUUCACCUUACAUGCAUUAAUUUAAUAACGUGGUAGGCCUACUCAACGUAAUUACACACGAACAACAUUAAGCCACUCACUCAGAGAAGAACGGCUGCUGCUGCCAUCAUCAUCCGUCCUCAUUUCUGCUACACUGGCAGGGCUAGGGGCCAGGACUCUCCUCUUCGGGUUUUUGGGGGAUGUUGCUAACUCCGGGUCCGAUAACAGGCAACCCCACCGCAGUAGAUGUGCACGGUGUGAGGUCUCGCAGCAAGCUAUCAAAUACGGCGCAUUUCUCGGCUUUUAACAAAAUGCUAUACGUCGCCAGGCGUUUCAUCAGAUUUGAGGUGGUACCUCCUUUGACAGUAUCACAGUAUCACCUUAAAGCACUUGUUGCAGGCUGCUGAGUUUGCAUCUUUUGCUGUGAAGUACAGCCAGACUUUGACCGCUUUGCCUUGGGCAUUUUUAAUCUGUAGCUCUGCUCUAAAAGAACGUACGUACCUGGGCCCGCCUACUACGCUUGCAAAGGUAAAAUGAUUGGCUAGAAUCCAAAGUGUAUGACAUCUCAGGAAAAAAAAGCACUGAAAUAAAGCACCGAAAUGUGCGCUGCUUUUUGGUCUGGUUACUACCAUUUAUGUCAG